AGAGUUUGAUCCUGGCUCAGGAUGAACGCUAGCUACAGGCUUAACACAUGCAAGUCGAGGGGCAGCAUGACCUAGCAAUAGGUUGAUGGCGACCGGCGCACGGGUGAGUAACACGUAUCCAACCUACCGGUUAUUCUGGGAUAGCCUUUCGAAAGAAAGAUUAAUACCGGAUAGUAUAACGAGAAGGCAUCUUUUUGUUAUUAAAGAAUUUCGAUAACCGAUGGGGAUGCGUUCCAUUAGUUUGUUGGCGGGGUAACGGCCCACCAAGACAUCGAUGGAUAGGGGUUCUGAGAGGAAGGUCCCCCACAUUGGAACUGAGACACGGUCCAAACUCCUACGGGAGGCAGCAGUGAGGAAUAUUGGUCAAUGGACGAGAGUCUGAACCAGCCAAGUAGCGUGAAGGAUGACUGCCCUAUGGGUUGUAAACUUCUUUUAUAUGGGAAUAAAGUGAGCCACGUGUGGCUUUUUGUAUGUACCAUACGAAUAAGGAUCGGCUAACUCCGUGCAGCAGGCCGCGGU
rnacentral:rRNA from 1 species